GACGAACGCUGGCGGCGCGCCUAACACAUGCAAGUCGAACGAGCGAGAGGAGGUUUACUUUCUCAAGCGAGUGGCGAACGGGUGAGUAACGCGUGAGGAACCUGCCUCAAAGAGGGGGACAACAGUUGGAAACGACUGCUAAUACCGCAUAAGCCCACGACCCGGCAUCGGGUAGAGGGAAAAGGAGCAAUCCGCUUUGAGAUGGCCUCGCGUCCGAUUAGCUAGUUGGUGAGGUAAUGGCCCACCAAGGCGACGAUCGGUAGCCGGACUGAGAGGUUGAACGGCCACAUUGGGACUGAGACACGGCCCAGACUCCUACGGGAGGCGGCAGUGGGGAAUAUUGCACAAUGGGGGAAACCCUGAUGCAGCGACGCCGCGUGGAGGAAGAAGGUCUUCGGAUUGUAAACUCCUGUUGUUGAGGAAGAUAAUGACGGUACUCAACAAGGAAGUGACGGCUAACUACGUG
rnacentral:rRNA from 1 species